rnacentral:tRNA from 1 species
CGUUAUGUGGCGUAGUUGGUUAACGCACCCAGGCUAGCGUAUUAGGAGUCGUAGGAUCGAGCCCACCAGAACGA